rnacentral:rRNA from 1 species
GCCCAGACUCCUACGGGAGGCAGCAGUGGGGAAUAUUGGACAAUGGGCGAAAGCCUGAUCCAGCAACGCCGCGUGAGGGAUGACGGCCUUCGGGUUGUAAACCUCUUUCAGUACCGACGAAGCGCCAAUAACGGUGGUGACGGUAGGUACAGAAGAAGGACCGGCCAACUACG